UACAGAGGUGGCAAGCGUUGUUCGGAAUUACUGGGCGUAAAGGGCGCGUAGGCGGUCAGGUCAGUCCCGUGUGAAAUCCCUCGGCUCAACUGAGGAACUGCACGGGAAACUACCUGGCUUGAGUUCGGGAGAGGGAAGCGGAAUUCCGGGUGUAGCGGUGAAAUGCGUAGAUAUCCGGAGGAACACCGGUGGCGAAGGCGGCUUCCUGGACCGACACUGACGCUGAGGCGCGAAAGCUAGGGGAGCAAACGGG
rnacentral:rRNA from 1 species